rnacentral:rRNA from 1 species
AAUGAGCCUGCGAGUUGUGGUGUCUGGCAAGGUUAAGCAAACGCGAAGCCGUAGCGAAAGCGAGUCUGAAUAGGGCGCUUAGUCAGAUGCUGCAGACCCGAAACGAAGUGAUCUAUCCAUGAGCAAGUUGAAGCUAGUGUAAGAACUAGUGGAGGACUGAACCCAUAGGCGUUGAAAAGCCCCGGGAUGACUUGUGGAUAGGGGUGAAAGGCCAAUCAAACUUCGUGAUAGCUGGUUCUCUCCGAAAUAUAUUUAGGUAUAGCGUUGUGUCGUAAUAUAAGGGGGUAGAGCACUGAAUGGGCUAGGGCAUACACCAAUGUACCAAACCCUAUCAAACUCCGAAUACCUUAUAUGUAAUCACAGCAGUCAGGCGGCGAGUGAUAAAAUCCGUCGUCAAGAGGGAAACAACCCAGACUACCAGCUAAGGUCCCUAAAUCUUACUUAAGUGGAAAACGAUGUGAAGUUACUUAAACAACCAGGAGGUUGGCUUAGAAGCAGCCAUCCUUUAAAGAAAGCGUAAUAGCUCACUGGUCUAGUGAUUUUGCGCGGAAAAUAUAACGGGGCUAAAGUAAGUACCGAAGCUGUAGACUUAGUUUACUAAGUGGUAGGAGAGCGUUCUAUUUGCGUCGAAGGUAUACCGGUAAGGAGUGCUGGAGCGAAUAGAAGUGAGCAUGCAGGCAUGAGUAGCGAUAAUUAAUGUGAGAAUCAUUAACGCCGUAAACCCAAGGUUUCCUACGCGAUGCUCGUCAUCGUAGGGUUAGUCGGGUCCUAAGUCGAGUCCGAAAGGGGUAGACGAUGGCAAAUUGGUUAAUAUUCCAAUACCAACAUUAGUGUGCGAUGGAAGGACGCUUAGGGCUAAGGGGGCUAGCGGAUGGAAGUGCUAGUCUAAGGUCGUAGGAGGUU